GUGUUUUUGUGUAUAUAUAUGUGUGUGUGUGUGUGUGUGUGUGUGUGUCGUGGAGGAGUGAACUGUGCCUGUCCUUGUGGGUGUAUGACGAACCAGGAUGUUGCCACGGUGACGGUGGUGGUGGGCAUGAUACAGAUGCGGGAGCUGGAGUUUGUGCCCGAUGGAGACAUGCAGCUGGACAAAUUCUGUUGCUCAUUGCUCAGACUGGAGUUUACAUGUAUACCUCCUUCACCAUCAUUGGUGGACACUUCACCAUGAGUGAUGCUUGAGCUGUCACGGUGCUGCUGCUGUUGUCUGCCAUCAUCCCCCUGACACAGACCACCCUGCAGACCACCUUCAUCCUGGGUGCCACACAUCACUGCUGCUACAACUCAGAGCAACUGGAACGCAAGCCAGGAAGGGAGAUAGUAACUUUUCACUUAAUUUGUUGUUUAUUUGAGGGCCUAAUGACAGACACAUAAUGGAAUGAGUAUUUGUGAAUGUUUGUUUAUAUCUAGAUACAGCAUUCACAUAUCUUUUAAGUGCCACCUUCCAAAAACAAUGUCAGCCAGAAAAAUAACUGAUGAAUCUAAUUACAUUUCAAGUCAAAAAGUUUUCCUUUAACCACUUUGCUCCAGAUGCUUAAAAACAUGCGUUGCUCACAUACAUGGCGUCGCGUAGGCUCGUGAGUGGUAACUUAUCUAAUUUCUAAUAAUUUCUAAUAUAAUUUCUGUGUGUGUGUGUGUGUGUGUGUGUGUGUGUGUGUGUGUGUGUGUGUGUGUGUGUGUGUGUGUGUGUGUGUGUGUGUGUGUGUGUGUUUUAUGUAUGAGUGACACUGGCCAAGGGCAACAAAAAUCCAAUAAAAAAAUAUGCCCACUGAAAUGGCAGUCCCAUAAAAGGGUCAAAGCAGUGGUCAAAAGUUGAUGAAUAAGUGUCUUGAAACCUCCCUCUUGAAGGAAUUCAAGUCAUAGGAAGGUGGAAAUACAGAAGCAGGCAGGGAGUUCCAGAGUUUACCAGAGAAAGGGAUGAAUGAUUGAGAAUACUUGUUAACUCUUGCAUUAGAGAAGUGGACAGAAUAGGGGUGAGAGAAAGAAGAAAAUAUUGUGCAGCGAGGCCGUGGAAGGAGGGGAGGCAUGCAGUUAGCAAGAUCAGAAAAGCAGUUAGCAUGAAAAUAGCGGUAGAAGACAGCUAGAGAUGCAACAUUGCGGCGGUGAGAGAGAGGCUGAAGACAGUCAGUUAUGUUUGUGUGUGUGUGUGUGUGUGUGUGUGUGUGUGUGUGUGUGUGUGUGUGUGUGUGUGUGUGUGUGUGUGCGCUGAUGCAGCUGAGAAGGUUGCCUUAUGAUAAUUAUUGACAAAUGAAGGUAAUGGAUGCGCAUGUCAUUACUACUUUUUUAAGUGUGUGUGUAUGUGUGUGUGUUAUGUACACACACACACACACACACACACACACACACACACACACACACACACACACACACACAAAGAGAAGUAAUAGACACGCAUCCUUUACCUUCAUUCAUCAAUAAUUGUCAUAAGACGACCUUCCCAGCUGCAUCAUUACACACACACACAUACACACACACACACAUUUACACACCACGUAGUGUAGUGGUUAGCACGCUCGGCUCACAACCAAGAAGGCCCAAGUUCGAAUCCCGGGCACGGUGAGGCAGAUGGACAAGCCUCUUAAUGUGUAGCCCCAGUUCACCUAGCUGCAACUAGCUGCAACUGUACAGGAUGUAACCCGAGGUGAUGUGACUUCGCUGUUCCGGUGUGUGGUGUGUCAUUGGCCUCAGUCCUACCCAAAGAUCAGUCACCAUGAACUCUGAGCUCUUACACACACACACACACACACACACACACACACACACACACACACACACACACACACACACACACAGAGAGAGAGAGAGAGAGAGAGAGAGAGAGAGAGAGAGAGAGAGAGAGAGAGAGAGAGAGAGAGAGAGAGAGAGAGAGAGAGAGAGAGAGAGAGAGAGCAAAAUGGCAAUGAAUGAAACAGGGAGGAGGGGGAACUGUGUGUGAAUGAAAACAUCAUCUACGUGAAACAUUUGAUUGAUUAUAAAGCACAUGUGCAUCAUAUAUAGUCAUGAAUGUGGAGGAACAGCAGAGUGAGUGAUCAACCACAGAAAGGAGAGAGUCGGACAUGCGGAGAGAAUGGAAGGGGAACAAUUUGAGAAGAUAAGCAUGCAAAUACAUAAAUAUAAGGUGGAAUAACAGUGUUUGGUGGGAAGAUGAAAGAGAGAUGCCUGUUUAUGAAGCAAAAUGGUUGUGCAAGAGAGGAAUGAUUGGAAAACCAUUCCCACCAAAGCCAACAGACCUUACACCAUAUUUUUACAAACCACAUCAUCUCUAUUCAUCCAUUCUGUGUGUCUUCUCUUCUCUCUCUCUCUCCACUCUUAAUGCUGCUGUGGGUUUCUGGGCUGGAGUACAUCAGAGAAAGAUUGACACCGACUUAUAUAUGAGAGGAUGUUGUCUGUAACUAUGCUAUGGGGACAUUGCAAGUUUGUGGGGUGUAAUGAAUGAAUAAGUGUGUCCUCUAUAGCAUACUUAAAAACCACACUCUCACAUGGAAAUCAAUCUCUCUCUCUCUCUCUCUCUCUCUCUCUCUCUCUCUCUCUCUCUCUCUCUCUCUCUCUCUCUCUCUCUCUCUC